GAUGAACGCUGGCGGCGUGCCUAAUACAUGCAAGUCGAGCGAACAGACGAGGAGCUUGCUCCUCUGACGUUAGCGGCGGACGGGUGAGUAACACGUGGAUAACCUACCUAUAAGACUGGGAUAACUUCGGGAAACCGGAGCUAAUACCGGAUAAUAUAUUGAACCGCAUGGUUCAAUAGUGAAAGACGGUUUUGCUGUCACUUAUAGAUGGAUCCGCGCCGCAUUAGCUAGUUGGUAAGGUAACGGCUUACCAAGGCAACGAUGCGUAGCCGACCUGAGAGGGUGAUCGGCCACACUGGAACUGAGACACGGUCCAGACUCCUACGGGAGGCAGCAGUAGGGAAUCUUCCGCAAUGGGCGAAAGCCUGACGGAGCAACGCCGCGUGAGUGAUGAAGGUCUUCGGAUCGUAAAACUCUGUUAUUGGGGAAGAACAAAUGUGUAGGUAACUAUGCACGUCUUGACGGUACCUAAUCAGAAAGCCACGGCUAACUACGUG
rnacentral:rRNA from 1 species